UGGCCCGUGGUGUAAUUGGCAACACGCCUGACUCUGGAUCAGGAGAGUCCAGGUUCGAUCCCUGGCGGGCCAA
rnacentral:tRNA from 1 species